AUGUUCUCCAAUGGUGAUAGAGCAGAGAUAGUGUUGAUCAUGUGGUAUAUUUGGCAUUCCCGAAAUAGAUGGACCCAUGAGGGCGAACAUGUUGAUCCGGCAAAUUCAUUACGAACUAUCAAUGAAAAUUUGGCUAUCCUGGAGCUACCACAGGAACAUGCACUCACUAGUAGAGAAAUGGGUAGCCCCAACUUUAGUUGGUGGCACACCAUUUCCAACCAACGCCACCACAAUAUUGUUUUUUCAAAUAGUGGUGGCAUUUUGCAUAUUUGGCACGUCACGACAAACUGGCCCAGCCCAUUUAGUUAG
rnacentral:rRNA from 1 species